rnacentral:lncRNA from 1 species
AUGUGCAGCAUCAGACUGAGACAGGCUCAAAAGCUAGUCCUGACUGCAGAGCCCCCUAAACCACAGUUGUCAAGCCACACCACAGUGCUUUGUGAUUCAGUCAUUUUGAGGGGUAAUUACAGUCUUCGUCUAAAACAUAAAACACCGCAACUGGCUGCUGUAUCUUGGACUUUAUGUUACUUCCUUUCGACAGGCAGAAGCACCUGUCUUGCAACAGGAGGCACUGUUUUUGCUGGAGGAACUCAGUCUCCCCGAAGGGGAAGUACCUUAAGACUGAAGGCCCCUUGGAUAUGUCAAAGCCCUUGUUUAUUUGCCAAUAAAUAAAAUGCUAUUUUCAAGAACUCCUUCUUAUAUCAACCUCUGUGAAUUAUAUCCUGGAGAAAAAAAAAGAGCUACAGCCCUCUGGGAACCUCCAUAAACCAGUAGUUCUCCAACUGUGUCGGAUCACCUGGAGGGUCUAUUAAAGCACAGUUGAUUGAGCUGCACACCCAGAGUUUCUGAUUUAGCAGUUUUGGAGGGGCACCUGAAGAUCUGUGUUUCUAACCAGCUCCUCAGAGAUGCUGCCGAUUGGGGGACCACAUUUAGGGAACCACUGGUCUAAACCAUCUGCUCCAGCUGCUUCAGUCUAAGGAGCUGCCAGUAGCCGAUUUUUUAAAAUCAUUUUUCACAUUCUUUCAGGUGGCCAUUGUUCUGAUCUUUCCUUCCAUCAAAGAAUUUUGGGAGCGGCUUGCUCCUCUGAAGCAGGAAUGCAAGUCAGGUUGCCCUCUCUGGCAUCGUUUUCCAUAUCAUCUUGCAGCCUACAUCAUUUCCGCUCUUAGAUAUGGAAAAGUCCCAAGCCUGCUUUUGCUGUCACAUCCCUCAUCUUUGGGCAUGCUGUUAGUUCUCUGGGCUAGACUUCCCUUGCCUGGUGGAUUCUGAAUUGUGUGUCAAAGUGGAACUCAUGCAUGGCCCCCUAUAGAGUCCUCCCUGAAUGAUCUAACCCAAGCAGAGAAAGUUUUCCUUAUCUGUAUUGAGUCUUACAGCUGCUAGUACAAACUUGUACCCUAGCCCUUGGCACAUUCUAAUGUAAGGAUCUAUUUGCAAGUUUCCUCUGCCUACUAGAAGGAGGUACUAAAGGCAGAGACUAGGAAUGACUCCACUCAAGGUUCCCUGAAGUACCAAGUAUUUUUGUAGGAUCUGCCAUGUGCCUAGACACACUAGUAAACAAUAACAGAUGUUGUCCUGCUCUCAUGAAGAUUUCCACCUAGUGGGUGAGACAACUGAUCACUCAAAAAAUGUCAAAAUGCGCUCCUGGUAAAUGUCAUGAAGGAGAGUGAUUUACUCA